CCCUGCUCUUUCUGGGGGCCGAGGUCACCUGCCCUGCUCUUUCCGGGGGCCGAGGUCAGGCCCCCUCUGGCCUUCUGGGCUGCUGAGCAAGGAAUCGGAUACGUGUUAAACGUGCGACUCCUCCGGACAUAUUUCCACUUUGGUCGUGCCCCACGAGAAAAAUCAGAUCGAGAAGGGGAAAACGAGAAAGAAGAAAGCAAAAACAGCAAUGAAAGAGGCGACAGCGCUCUGUGGCGGUCCCCACUCGGUCCCCACAGUCUCUCUGGGUGCAGAUGGCUCUCUCCUUCACAAGUCUGUAGGAACUGGCCCGAAUCACCUGAUUUCGAAAAGAGCCAAGUGCCUCAGAACUCAUCAUCGUGUCACGUUGUUACCUUGUACAGCGAUCUCCCGGUUCUGCUCUCUUCACUCGGCAUCGAUUCCUGUGAGUCUCUCCAGGCCCCUCUGAAAUCCUGCUCAUCACUUCUUACAGAAUAAUAUUCCAUCACAUUCGUGUGCCACAAUUUACGCAGCCAUUCCACUCCAUUUCCAGUUCCUUACCACUGAGUACACAAAGGAACGCUACACACAUUCUUCACGUGUGGGUCCUUAUCCCUUUUUUAAGUUCUUUGGGAUACAGACCCACUGCUGGAUCAGAGGGGAGGCACAGUCUGACAGCCAUUUGGGCAUAGUCCCAGAUUGCUCUCCAGAACGGUUGGACCACUUUACAACUCCACCAACAGUGUCUUAAUGUCCCAGUUUUCCCUCAGGCCCUGCAACGUUCAUCAUUAUCUUUUCCCGUUAGCCGGUGAGAGGUAUGUAGUGGGACCUCGGAGCCGUCUCAAUUUGCAUUUCUCUGAUCCAUAGUGAUUUGGAGCAUUUUGUCAUAUGACUAGAAAUGGUUUUGUUUGAAAAUUGUCCAUUAGCGUCUUUUGCCCAUUUAUCGAUUGGAGAAUGGCUUGUAUUCUUAGGAGUUCAUUCUCCUUAUAUUUUAAAAACGAGACCUUUAUGAGAACCCUUGAGUGUAAAAAAUUUUCCCCCAGUUCUCUAUCACCUUUCUAAUCUUGUCUGCAUCGGUUUUGUUCGUACGGUAACUUAAAUAUUUCAUUAAUUUUAUUAUUAAUUAUAAUACUGUUAUUGAAUCAAUACAUUUAAUAUUAUCAAAACUAUCCAUUUUACAUUUCAUAAUAUACCACAGUUCUUGUUUGGCCAUCGAUUUAGAAGAACGUUUCCCUCCCUACCAGGUUAUCCAGAAUAGAAUGGGGAUCCGGACCUCCGUUUGUAGGCCGGAGGCCGAAAGGGGGUGUGACACACACGAGAAAUGGAAGGGGCCUCGUUGGACACCGGGAGCUAGGAGUCACCUAAAACUCUUGCUUAUGAGAGUCUGUUUGGCCGCCAUAGAACGAUGAUACAGAUUGAGUAAAUAUUACAUUAUAGCACAAAUUCCUUUGGUGGAUGGGUUGGGCUCCACGGUUGUCUACUGAGGCUCCUGCCGACCCUCGGGUUCCGUCAAGGGAGACAUUAUUCAGUAAAGAUCAGAGGAAGAAGUGGCAGAGAGUGGUGGUUGGCGACUUGCUACCGAGUGGACACUGAGGCAACCGUCUAGCCGAUAACAACAAAGAUGUCUACUGUCUUUCCAGGACGCGUAUCUAGGGUGUGACAAAGAACCUCCCGUGACUAGUCGAACCAGAUGAGUACUAACUACUUUGCCAAUUUGUGUGGGCAUAAAUGAUAGAAGGAAACUACAGAGUGCUGCGAAAGACUGCUGAGCGUUGGAAAAGAAACCGAAGGCCUUAGGGGUCCAGGUGUUGUUCUUCGAACUUCUGCCAAUCAGAAGCAAAGGCUUCAGAACGGAAGGACUGGUUAAGAACAUGGUGUUGGUCACAACAUAACAUUCUCACUCUUUCUGUUGUUGUUUGCUUGCGUUUUGUUUUCUUACUCAUUUACUUACUUUUUUUAAUCUGAUUUUUCUUGUGCAGCAAGAGGAUUGUAUAAAUAUGUUUAUACAGAUUUGAUUUAACAUAUACUUUAACAUGUUUAA